rnacentral:sRNA from 1 species
GCCUAGCCCCGAUUGACGCUUUGUUUGAGCUCUUUUUUGUUUUUUUCAAACAAAAAAAGCGAGUGCGGAAAGCGGGAAAUUGC